rnacentral:RNase_P_RNA from 1 species
CGACUGGGGUGAACAAUCGCGCUGGACAGAAAUGUCGGUGAGGAAAGUCCGGGCUUCACAGAGCAGGAUAACGGAUAACGUCCGCCGGAGGCGACUCCCGGGAUAGUGCAACAGAGAUAUACCGCCGUAUUUUUACGGUAAGGGUGGAAAGGCGAGGUAAGAGCUCACCGGCGUGGUGGUGACAUCACGGCCCUGUAAACCCUAUCCGAAGCAACACCGAAUGCAGAGAGCUUUAAGCUACGUUUGCUCGACGGAAUCUGUGAGGUGGCAACAGAGCUUUAUGGCAACAUAAAGCCAAGAUAGAUGAUUGUUCUCGACAGAACCCGGCUUACAGCCCCAGUCGCGGG